CAGAAGCAGCUGACACAGCAUCAGAAACUGUAGUCUGUAUGACUGCUGGAUCAUUAAUCAGAGUGAUUGUGAGUAUUGUAGAGAUUGCAGUGUUUGCUGCUCCUACUGUGAUUCUUCUUCAGAUCAUCUGUGCGAGAAGAGCUGGAAGGAAGAACUCUCAUCACCAAAAUGAAAUUGAGAUGUCUGCAG